GGGGCUGUAAGGUUUCGACGGCUAUCUUAAUUCUACCAAUAGCGAGUAGUGGAUUCUCGUUGGCCACUAUAAAAACGAGAAAUUAAAAUUAAACGCAGAUAAUAAUAGAUUUGCAUUAGCUGCCUAAGUUCAGCUAGGUCUUUCAUUGUUUUGCUAGAGGAUAAUGAAAGGUCUCAAUCAAUCUAGCUAACAAAGUUAAUUGAUGAUUGUAGAUUAAUGGGUAUUUGUCAAUCAUAUGAAAUCUUAUUUUUGUAAAUUUUUGAUGGGUUUGAUAUUACUUUAAAAUUUACUGCACUCGGAGAAGUUGAUAGAAAGGGAUUUUCGGACGUGAGUUCAAUUCUCACCAGCUCCACCA
rnacentral:tmRNA from 1 species